CCAACGCCGAUUGUGGCAACCUCUGGUGUCUGGUUUGUUGUACGACUUGUAGCGCCGAUUUUACUUACCGACCUGCUCUCUCCUCUCUAGGCUUUCCUAGUGCAGUUUUGGCGUGUAGUACAGAUACGAAUCACCACAAGAAUACACUCUGUUAAGUUUGAAGGCGGUGCCGAUAUAUAUAUAUAUACCCUGCUGCGUUUGAGGCUUUUAUGGUUAGAGUCGACUGUUCGUUCAGAUUUGAGUUCUCUACGUUGCCACGCUUCAGGAGCGGGCUUGGUCGCCUCCGUGUGGAACGGGUGAACUCUCUCUUUGCAAGCGUCCGUCGAAGAUCUUGGCUAUAUCAGGAGCGGUGUGUGGGCCGUCUCCUUUGGAGUUUGCAAACUCUCUUUCGAAGUAUCCAUCAAGGAUCUUGGUGAUUUCAAAAGCGACGUGAUCGCUUCUUUACUUGGAACUCAGCUCCUCGUUCCAAGCGUCCGCAGGAUAUUGGCUAGUUACCUCCAGCGUGACAGAGCUCAGCACUUUCGUAUGUUUCGCCACAGUUCUUCGAACCGUGGCAUCUUGCUGGCCGUUAAGUCCAAAAGGAUAGGCUUUCCGAAAUGACGGAAGUCAUUUCACCUUCGCGCUCGUAAAUUAUAUUUGUUACGAGUGCUGCUCGGGUUUCUCAGUUCGGAUUUACGAUUGAACUAUAUAACUAACUGGAAGGAGCGCUGUGUUACGUCCUGGACAAGCAUAGAACAUGCAAUGUCUAGAUUUGUUUGGUUUACUUCGGAUCAGCGCUGUUCUUGUCCAAAUCCUUAUUAUUUGAAUGUUUUCUUUGGAGAUUUUAUUCUCGAGACCGAAGAUUUAGAUGGAUCUGUUUUGAAAACAGCCAGGUCGAGCGUGCCUGGAUUAUAAUAACUUUUCAACAAACGUCUAAAUUGAAUCCGCCGUCCGGCUCUUGUUCUUUUCGGCAUGAGAGAUUUUUAGCACUGCGUUCUGGGAAAAAAGGGAGGAGUGGUGCUCGUGGUUCAAGCACAACACUCUUAAGGUAAAGAAAAGAAGAACGGUGCUCGUGAUUCAAGCACGGCGUUCUGGAAAAAGAACGAAGAUGAUAAGAGAGCAGAGAGUUAAUAACUGGCUCAACAAGAGAUUCAGCGAAAGAUUGUCUGUUGGCUAAUUGGAGGCUAACAAGAGACUGCCUAGAGACCGACGAGAGACUGCCUAGAGACUGACUAGCGCGCGAAGGGCCGAGCCCUUUUUAUACCCAAGCCCGACACUAUGGAUAUCAAUUGAGCGUCUUUUCCUAAUUCACCCUUCAUUAUUUAUU